UGGGCUAUAGCCAAGUGGUAAGGCAACGGACUUUGACUCUUUGACUCCGUCAUUCGUUGGUUCGAAUCCAGCUAGCCCAG
rnacentral:tRNA from 1 species